GUAGGUGGCAAGCGUUGUCCGGAAUUAUUGGGCGUAAAGCGCGCGCAGGUGGUUCUUUAAGUCUGAUGUGAGAGCCCCCGGCUCAACCGGGGAGGGUCAUUGGAAACUGGGGAACUUGAGUGCAGGAGAGGAAAGUGGAAUUCCACGUGUAGCGGUGAAAUGCGUAGAUAUGUGGAGGAACACCAGUGGCGAAGGCGACUUUCUGGCCUGUAACUGACACUGAGGCGCGAAAGCGUGGGGAGCAAACAGGGAUUAGAUACCCUGGUAGUCCACGCCGUAAACGAUGAGUGCUAAGUGUUGGGGGGGGUUUCCGCCCCCUCAGUGCUGCAGCUAACGCAUUAAGCACUCCGCCUGGGAGUACGGUCGCAAGACUG
rnacentral:rRNA from 1 species